rfam:Enterococcus sp. 2G9_DIV0600 scaffold00001, whole genome shotgun sequence.
AUAAUGAUAUUUCCGUAAGGCUCGCCAUAAACUGGCGGGAGGUGAAAUUCCUAUGC